rnacentral:lncRNA from 1 species
CCAGGUUUCCUUUUAGAAACUUCAGAGUCAAGCUAUUCUUAGUGAUGACUCCCAAGCUCCAGCUGCCUGGCCAGCUCCCUGCCUGUGUCUCAGAUCCCCAGUGGCCUUAAAAGGAGAGGACUGGAGAAAUGUCACCCUGAGUCAGAGCACGGCUGCACAGGCCAGCAGUCAACUCCACUGUCUCCACGACCCAGGGUCCUGGAGAUGAGCCCAGGGGGACUGGGGCUAGAUGUCCCCUUGCUUUGUCUUCUGACGGUCACGUUUCUUGCAGAACCAAGCUGCCUCGAAUCCAGUGUGCUUGGUGGAAGCACCCCACAUGCCACCUGUGUGGUGUUGCCCCAGAGCUGGGCAUCCUGGAAUGGGCCUUUGUCAGAUAGACUGGAGGCUCUUGGUGGGCCAGGCAUUCCUACCAAGCCUGGAGUGCUAGCCCUGCCUCUGGGAAAACCACGUCCAUGAGCCAGCUGCCUGGAAACUGCUCAUCUUCAGACAGUAGCUCCUGGCACCUGUCUGUGGGGCACCUCCCUAUGCCUCCUGCUCCUUUCCCGACCCUACCCCUACACAUUCACUCUGUGCUCAUAUUCCCCAGAGGGCAACGGCCUCACUACCUCUAUACGCUAGCUCCACAGCUACCAUUAUUGCUUAAUAAUUACUUGUUAUAAUUAAUUUAGUAGUCUUUUUGUGACUAAAACUUUGGCUGGCUGUUAUAAAUGACUUUGAUUCUUGAAGAAGGUGUUGCUAUACUAGAUGCGGUUUUGCAAAAUAAACUUUCCAAAUGUGCAAUAGGAGUGGGGUAGAAGAGAUAAAAAGAGUUCUCGGGGUAGCUUGAGGGACUGCUGAGCUGGCUCCUCCUUCCCACCCAGUGGGAGCUUGGUCUCCAUGGUAAGGGUUUCUUUUCUGAGCUUAGGAAGCAGCAGCUGCCAGGGAGGACUGGGACAGCGCUGUGCAGCUGACCAGGGCCUUGCUAUUGGCCUCAAUGCUUUGCCAUGUCUGGCUUGAUGCCCUGUCAGCCGCCUUAGAGCUGGCUGCCAGCCCCUGGCUACUCCCCAAGGUCUGGGGGUCACUUUGUGACAAACAGCCCUGAGAUUUGGGACUUGCUUUUUUCAUCCUCUUCCUGUUUUGCAGUUUCCUAUGUGCAAAAUUUCCUAUGAGCACCGGCCUCACUCCUCCUCCUCUUGGAGCCGAGCACCUGCCCUGGAAUCACCACCUCUGCUGGAAGCAAAGCAGGGAGCAGCAGCUGCAGGUGGCCUGGCCUCUUAGAGAGGGAAGGAAAGAGGCCCAGCACUGAGGAUGGCAGACGGGGGACCAUAAAGCAGGGGAUAAGUGGCUCUGGCCAGUCUAAGAGCGCUGUGAUGAGGCAGCCAUCCUGCCUAGCAGAGGCCGGCUCUGGUGGAGACUCCUUGUGGCAGAGGCCGGGGUGGCCCCUUGAUGCUGAUGCUGCUCAGCGGGGGUUUCUUUUCCUCUUCUC